GGGUUUUCGCCGAUUUCCGGCCAUUCCGGCCACCUCCGGCCACCAUAUUGACAUCGAAGGGUUCUUGAAGCUUCGGGGCUUUCCUUCACCGGCUUGAUUCGACCACUUCGAGGACGAGAGGAGUCUCCAUACGAGGAAAAUACCGAGCGACGUCAGGAUUGAGCAUAUAUCUUUUCAGUGUUGCUGCUCGGCGUUCAGGAGUGAGCCAUAGUGACCGCAUCCGCUUCCGUCAUCAUAUUUUGUAGGUUAUUUAUUUAGCCUACUGUACUCUAUGUUAAACUUAUAUUCCUAGAAUGCUCUGAUUACUAAGGGAUAUGUGACCCAAACUUGUAUGAAUUAUAUUUGAGGUCUAUGACCUAACUUUGGUGAUUGUAGUAACUUGUACCUUUCGGAGAUUAUGUAUGAUGUUGUUAGCUUUGAGA